GCGGAUGUGGCGGAACUGGCAGACGCGCUGGAUUUAGGUUCCAGUGUCUUAUGGCGUGGGGGUUCGAAUCCCUUCAUCCGCA
rnacentral:tRNA from 5 species